AACGAACGCUGGCGGCAUGCCUAACACAUGCAAGUCGAACCAUGCCUUCGGGCAUAGUGGCGCACGGGUGCGUAACGCGUGGGAAUCUGCCCUUGGCUUCGGAAUAACAGUUAGAAAUGACUGCUAAUACCGGAUGAUGUCCCCCUGAGAGAUCUUGGGGACCAAAGAUUUAUCGGCCAGGGAUGAGCCCGCGUAGGAUUAGGUAGUUGGUGGGGUAAAGGCCUACCAAGCCGACGAUCCUUAGCUGGUCUGAGAGGAUGAUCAGCCACACUGGGACUGAGACACGGCCCAGACUCCUACGGGAGGCAGCAGUGGGGAAUAUUGGACAAUGGGGGGAACCCUGAUCCAGCAAUGCCGCGUGAGUGAUGAAGGCCUUAGGGUUGUAAAGCUCUUUUACCAGGGAUGAUAAUGACAGUACCUGGAGAAUAAGCUCCGGCUAACUCCGUG
rnacentral:rRNA from 1 species